rnacentral:rRNA from 1 species
GCUAGCGUUGUUCGGAAUUACUGGGCGUAAAGCGCACGUAGGCGGCUUUGUAAGUUAGAGGUGAAAGCCCGGGGCUCAACUCCGGAAUUGCCUUUAAGACUGCAUCGCUAGAAUUGUGGAGAGGUAAGUGGAAUUCCGAGUGUAGAGGUGAAAUUCGUAGAUAUUCGGAAGAACACCAGUGGCGAAGGCGACUUACUGGACACAUAUUGACGCUGAGGUGCGAAAGCGUGGGGAGCAAACAGG